rnacentral:snoRNA from 1 species
AUCCUUCAGGUUCUGAAACGUGAUGAAUGGGUUGUGCACACGUUUGUGUGAAAUGUGCCGUCCUUUUAUGUUACGACGGGGCACAGUACCCGUCUGAUC